GUUAUAGGAUCAAGCGACUAAGUGCAUAUGGUGGAUGCCUUGGCGAUCACAGGCGAUGAAGGACGUAGUAGCCUGCGAAAAGCUGCGGGGAGCUGGCA
rnacentral:rRNA from 1 species